AGCAGUAGCCGCGGGAAUACGGAGGGAGCUAGCGUUGUUCGGAAUUACUGGGCGUAAAGCGCACGUAGGCGGAUAUUUAAGUCAGGGGUGAAAUCCCAGAGCUCAACUCUGGAACUGCCUUUGAUACUGGGUAUCUUGAGUAUGGAAGAGGUGAGUGGAAUUCCGAGUGUAGAGGUGAAAUUCGUAGAUAUUCGGAGGAACACCAGUGGCGAAGGCGGCUCACUGGUCCAUUACUGACGCUGAGGUGCGAAAGCGUGGGGAGCAAACAGGAUUAGAUACCCCGGUAGUCCCUGUCUCUUAUAC
rnacentral:rRNA from 1 species